ensembl:lncRNA
UAGGUCCCAGCGCUCCCCGUUGUCCUAGACACAAACGCAGGAGCCAAUUAUUGAGGGACAUCAGAACCUAAUCCUCUUUGAUGGUCCACAUUGUUGAAGGACACUUAAGAAAAACUGCUCAACUGGUCAAUGCUUCGAUGGUGGAGAAAAAGAAGGACAAAGCUGAAAUUUACGGGUUCCAGCAAGACAAAAUCUGAAGGACGCUCCAGUUAAAAACAUUGCCGAGGGAAGAUUAUCAAGGAUGGCACAACAAACCUAAAAGUAUUUGCAUCUCAUAUCGACCGAAGCACUGAUGUAAUACUCCAUGCACUACAGCAAACAAAACAUAUAUAGAAUUUAUCAUAUCUUAGCACUCUAGUAAGUAUGUGAAAGAGAGAGAGACACAAAGAAUUGCAAGUCCUGCUGUUGGUAGUGAGUGUCACUGCAUUAGCCAUUCAAGUCCAGUGUAAACAUGGCAGGUCAUCUGGGAGUCGGUUGGAUCAAUAUAGCAGCACUACUCUAAGCGCUGCCUUCUGAAGGGACUGGACAUACAGCCAUAGAUGAGACUCCUCAUCUUCACUUAAACAUCCAGUGCAUCACUACACACACUUCCUGUGGAUGAGAUACUAGCUCCCAAAUAUAAUCUGGACCAGAUCAUUAUCAGU